GGAGAGCUUUGGAGGAGCCCUGAUGAAGAAGUAGGAACAGCACUGUGGUGAAGAGCUGCUUGUGAGAAAACCACCCAGAAGCCCACACUGAUUGAAGUAUCUACAUAGACAAACUUGAACAUCUCAGGAACUCCUGAAGAAGAUGAGCUUAUAACAGAGAAGAGAGUAGGGUGUAACUGCAGAUCUGAUGAAGAACUAAAAUGUCUGACAGAUGUAGAUCUACAAAAAAGAGGGAAUUACCCAAGGAUGAAAAUCAUCUUCAUCCUCUACAAGUUUCAAAAGGAUUCAGAUGCAAGUUUUCAAUUUCAGUCCUUCUCCAUCUAAAACUUUACAAUAAAAAUCAGGUGAAAUUAUCUGGUAUGUCCUCCACAAUAGCAGAAAUAAAAAUUUUGGAAUUUCAAACUCCCUA